GACGAACGUUGGCGGCGUGCUUAAUACAUGCAAGUCAACUGAAGCACCGGUAGUAAUACUGGUGUGGAGGUGGCGCACGGGUGAGUAACACGUAGGUAAUCUGCCUUCAGGUCUGACAUAACCCCGAGAAAUCGGGGCUAAUAGCAGAUGAUGCAGCGGCUUGACAUCAAGACAGUUGUUAAAGCUUCGGCGCCUGAAGAUGAGCCUGCGUCUGAUUAGCUAGUUGGCGGAGUAAUAGCCCACCAAGGCGACGAUCAGUAGCUGGUCUGAGAGGAUGAUCAGCCACACUGGAACUGAGACACGGUCCAGACUCCUACGGGAGGCAGCAGUAAGGAAUAUUGCUCAAUGGGAGAAAUCCUGAAGCAGCAACGCCGCGUGAGGGAUGAAGGGCUUUUGCUCGUAAACUUCUGUAGUGAGGGAAAAAAUUUCCAAUUCUAUGGAAUAUGAUGGUACCUCAAAAGUAAGACCCCGGCUAACUA
rnacentral:rRNA from 1 species